rnacentral:rRNA from 1 species
GACGUAGGGUGCGAGCGUUGUCCGGAUUUAUUGGGCGUAAAGAGCUCGUAGGCGGCUCGUCGCGUCGACCGUGAAAACCCGCGGCUUAACUGCGGGCUUGCGGUUGAUACGGGCGGGCUAGAGUUCGGUAGGGGAGAAUGGAAUUCCUGGUGUAGCGGUGAAAUGCGCAGAUAUCGGGAAGAACACCCGUGGCGAAGGCGGUUCUCUGGGACGGUACUGACGCUGAGACGCGAAAGCGUGGGGAGCGAACAGG